UAACACAAAGCCCAAGUCCAUCUGAGUUAAACGAUUCGAGUUGUUUUUCAUCAAUCCUCUGCACUUCGUCUGCAGAUCGAGCAGCGGCGCUCCAGAUCCGAUCGGGAGAUGAUGCAAGACGACGGCGGUAGAGCUCCGGGAGGUAGGAAGCGGAGAGGAAGCGGCGGACGUCGGGGCGAGGCGUAUCAGGUCAGGAUCCAGCGCGGCGGUGCGUAGUGGAGGCCGCCGACGGCGGCGCUCCAUGGCAAUGGUGGCUCGGCUUCCUGGGAAGAAGAGACAAGGGAGAGCCGCCGGAUCGCUCGUGUGUAUGAUUGUUCCUGUUCCAUGCAUCCUGCCACUUUGAUGGUGUAAAGCUAGCUGUCCUGAUUGUUUGGGUGGUGCACAGUCAGUGUUUGUUGGUAUGCCUAUGCGACAGCGGGUAAGUGAUUGACUUUGCAGCAGCAAUUAGGAACGAUAAGGAAAAGGAAUCUGAUGAAAAUUGCCAAUAGGUUCCUCUCCAUUUGCACCCCUCAUGCACCAGGAUUACAAUUUCAGCAAAACUGGCUGAGUUCCUCAGUUAAGGUGUUUUUUUACUGAAUUGGGAUGCUAAUUGUGAUGCUUUGCCUGCCUUUAAAGUGGAUAUUGUUGAUUGGUAAGUGUUGACGGUGGCUAGCGUUGUUGAUGUUUCAUAGUACUGUUUUUUGGUAGCUCGCAGCCUCAUAUAGUGCUUGAGGAAACCUGAGAAUAUUGUGAGGCUUCGUGGUGCAAGUGUUGAGAUGAACAAGCACUUCCCUCACUACAAGGAAUCAACACCGUCUAGCGGCAGCAACAACGGAUACAGAACAACUGAUGCGACCUGCGGUGGACAUUAUCCAACCUUAAUUCCAGGUACUGUAAUAACUAUCUUACUGCUUAAUUACCUCCGCUCCUAUAUAGCCAUUAGAACUGAUCCACAUACACUGUGUAGGUAAGUAGCUUUUGCUGGGUCCAGUUGAGUAUGUCCUGAUCUUUUGAGCUUUUUUUUCAUGCACAUUAUUAGAUGGUGUUUUGAAAAGGAAUGCAUCAGUUGUUAUUUCAGAGUUGUGAAAUUGUUUUUCUUGCUAUUCUUGCCGCACGGAAGGCAGGCAAUGCGCGGCAGGCUAUUCCUCCUAUUUGUUAGGCAUUGCAUCCUUAUUUAUUCUCAACACAUGACAAGUUGAGUUAUUUCUAUUCAUAUAUACUGUAGUAGGAUACACACACACGUAUUUUGUAAUGUCGUAGCCAACAAAGAGGCAUAAAAGAGCAGAUGACCAUUGUGGUCAGCGAAGGAAUCAUGCAACGAUCAUGAUGAAAAUCUUACGGGCGUGUAAGGAUGGAAGGAGAGGAAGGAGAGGGUGAUAGUGACGAAACGGCCAAAAAUUAUACGCACCAAUAAAUUUGUUAGGUGUUAAACUCCAUGGCCAUGGCGGCUCGGCCUCCUAGGAAGAAGAGACGAGGGAGAGAGAGGAGGUGAGAUGGAGAGAAGAGAAGGGAGAGAAGGGACAGUGCGGCUACCUGCUGCUGGUCUGGCAGCGGCUCCAGUCGCCAGACCUAGGUUUGUGUCCGAAUUCCUCCCCUUUCCGCUGCACGAUGGAAGGUCAUUCACGGCCAGCGUCAGCGCAUGUGGCUACUGGCAAUCUUGCCGCCGUCUGCACUUACUUCGUCGCGGUGCUUCCUCCGCCGUCGCGUGUUGCUGCUCCAGAUCGGCAUAAAUCCUUCCUCCUAGCCAUCUCCAGUGAACUAGAUGAGAUGAAGUAAUCGUCUGAACCUGUGGUAACCUACUCCUUUUGCCCUUCAAAAUGUGAGGUCAAAAUAUUGUUGUUUUUUCAGGUGACUCUGCAGUUCCGGUCAAGCCAAGCAAUCUUUAGCAAGAACUGCAUCCAUUCAUCUGGUCUAACUUCCGCCGAUGAACUUUUGCAUUCACAUGUCUCUCUCUCUCUCUGUGUGUCCAUGAAAGCCCUUGCUGAAUUUGUAUGAUAAGAGUGCUACCUCCUGUUGCAUACGUUCCAUUGGAUACUAAAUAAAUUAUUUUCUGGUUAAUUAUAGUAGAAUUUAAUUAGGAGGGCAAGUAAUUAUGGGUGAUAACUAUUUAGUUUAUUUUUGUACUCUUAGAGUCCUGUAGGAUUUUGUAAUUGGGCUAGAUUUUUUUGUCUGAAUCUGAUUUUUACUCUUAAGAGUCUCUGUCCAUGAACA